CCCCUAGAUGUUCUGGGCCGCACGCGCGCUACACUGAACAGUUCAACAAGUCUUAACCUUGGCCGAUAGGUCUGGGUAAUCUUUGAACGCUGUUCGUGAUUGGGAUAGACCUUUGCAAUUAUGGGUCUUCAACGAGGAAUUCCUAGUAAACGCAAGUCAUCAGCUUGCAUUGAUUACGUCCCUGCCCUUUUUACACACCGCCCGUCGCACCUACCGAUUGAAUGGUCCGGUGAAAUCUCGGGACGGCGGCUUGGUCGCUUGCGUCCGACUGCUGAAACUUGAUUAAACCAUAUCAUUUAGAGGAAGGUGAAGUCGUAACA
rnacentral:rRNA from 1 species